rnacentral:rRNA from 2 species
GUUGGGUAGGGGAGCGUUCUGUAAGCCUGUGAAGGUGUACUGUGAGGUAUGCUGGAGGUAUCAGAAGUGCGAAUGCUGACAUAAGUAACGAUAAUGCGGGUGAAAAACCCGCACGCCGGAAGACCAAGGGUUCCUGUCCAACGUUAAUCGGGGCAGGGUGAGUCGACCCCUAAGGCGAGGCAGAAAUGCGUAGUCGAUGGGAAACGGGUUAAUAUUCCCGUACUGGUGAUAAUUGCGAUGGGGGGACGGAGAAGGUUAGGCUGGCCGGGCGACGGUUGUCCCGGUUUAAGGAUGUAGGCAGGUGAAUUAGGCAAAUCCGGUUCACUAUAUGCUGAGGUCUGAUGACGAGCCACUACGGUGGUGAAGUAGCUCAUACCCCGCUUCCAGGAAAAGCCUCUAAGCUCUAGAUUAUCAUUAAUCGUACCCCAAACCGACACAGGUGGUCAGGUAGAGAAUACUCAGGCGCUUGAGAGAACUCGGGUGAAGGAACUAGGCAAAAUGGUGCCGUAACUUCGGGAGAAGGCACGCUGGCGCUAGGUGAAGUGGUUUACCCAUGGAGCUGAAGCCAGUCGCAGAUACCAGCUGGCUGCAACUGUUUAUUAAAAACACAGCACUGUGCAAACACGAAAGUGGACGUAUACGGUGUGACGCCUGCCCGGUGCUGGAAGGUUAAUUGAUGGGGUUAUCCGUAAGGAGAAGCUCUUGAUCGAAGCCCCAGUAAACGGCGGCCGUAACUAUAACGGUCCUAAGGUAGCGAAAUUCCUUGUCGGGUAAGUUCCGACCUGCACGAAUGGCGUAAUGAUGGCCAGGCUGUCUCCACCCGAGACUCAGUGAAAUUGAACUCGCUGUGAAGAUGCAGUGUACCCGCGGCAAGACGGAAAGACCCCGUGAACCUUUACUAUAGCUUGACACUGAACAUUGAGCCUUGAUGUGUAGGAUAGGUGGGAGGCUUCGAAGCGUGGACGCCAGUCUGCGUGGAGCCAACCUUGAAAUACCACCCUUUAAUGUUUGAUGUUCUAACGUUGCCCCGUAAUCCGGGGUGCGGACAGUGUCUGGUGGGUAGUUUGACUGGGGCGGUCUCCUCCCAAAGAGUAACGGAGGAGCACGAAGGUUGGCUAAGCAUGGUCGGACAUCAUGCGGUUAGUGCAAAGGCAUAAGCCAGCUUGACUGCGAGAGUGACGGCUCGAGCAGGUACGAAAGUAGGUCUUAGUGAUCCGGUGGUUCUGAAUGGAAGGGCCAUCGCUCAACGGAUAAAAGGUACUCCGGGGAUAACAGGCUGAUACCGCCCAAGAGUUCAUAUCGACGGCGGUGUUUGGCACCUCGAUGUCGGCUCAUCACAUCCUGGGGCUGAAGUAGGUCCCAAGGGUACGGCUGUUCGCCGUUUAAAGUGGUACGCGAGCUGGGUUUAGAACGUCGUGAGACAGUUCGGUCCCUAUCUGCCGUGGGCGUUGGAAGAUUGAAAGGGGCUGCUCCUAGUACGAGAGGACCGGAGUGGACGCACCACUGGUGUUCGGGUUGUCAUGCCAAUGGCAUUGCCCGGUAGCUAAGUGCGGAAAAGAUAACCGCUGAAAGCAUCUAAGCGGGAAACUUGCCUUGAGAUGAGUCUUCCCUGACUCUUUAAGGGUCCUAAAGGAACGUUUAAGACUAAGACGUUGAUAGGUUGGGUGUGUAAGCGUAGCGAUACGUUGAGCUAACCAAUACUAAUGAACCGUGAGGCUUAACC